GGUGAGAUGGCCGAGUUGGUUAUGGCGCCAGGUUAAGGUCUCCCCUUAGCAACGCAACACGGAUUCUCUCCGUAGUAGCUUCCUGGUCACGAAAGUGGCGUGGGUUCGAGUCCCACUCUCAUCA
rnacentral:tRNA from 1 species